UACAGAGGUCCCAAGCGUUGUUCGGAUUCAUUGGGCGUAGAGGGUGCGUAGGCGGCGCGGUAAGUCGGGUGUGAAAUCUCGGAGCUUAACUCCGAAACUGCAUUCGAUACUGCCGUGCUUGAGGACUGGAGAGGAGACUGGAAUUUACGGUGUAGCGGUGAAAUGCGUAGAUAUCGUAAGGAAGACCAGUGGCGAAGGCGGGUCUCUGGACAGUUCCUGACGUGAGGCACGAAGGUCAGGGGAGCAAACGGG
rnacentral:rRNA from 1 species